GUAGGGAAUCUUCCACAAUGGACGAAAGUCUGAUGGAGCAACGCCGCGUGAGUGAAGAAGGGUUUCGGCUCGUAAAACUCUGUUGUUAAAGAAGAACAUAUCUGAGAGUAACUGUUCAGGUAUUGACGGUAUUUAACCAGAAAGCCACGGCUAACUACGUGCUAG
rnacentral:rRNA from 1 species